rnacentral:tRNA from 1 species
GCGAGGUAGCUCAGUUGGUUAGAGCACCGGAUUCAUAACCCGGAGGUCAGGAGUUCAAAUCUCCUUCUCGC